rnacentral:rRNA from 1 species
UACGUAGGGAGCAAGCGUUGUUCGGAUUUACUGGGCGUAAAGGGCGCGUAGGCGGCGCGGUAAGUCACUUGUGAAAUCUCUGAGCUUAACUCAGAACGGCCAAGUGAUACUGCAGUGCUAGAGUGCAGAAAGGGCAAUCGGAAUUCUUGGUGUAGCGGUGAAAUGCGCAGAUAUCAGGAGGAACACCGGUGGCGAAGGCGGGUCUCUGGGCCGGAACUGACGCUGAGGAGCGAAAGCGUGGGUAGCAAACAGG